rnacentral:rRNA from 1 species
CCUACGGGAGGCAGCAGUGAGGAAUAUUGGUCAAUGGGCGGAAGCCUGAACCAGCCAAGUCGCGUGAGGGAAUAAGGCCCUACGGGUCGUAAACCUCUUUUGCCGGGGAGCAAGGGCGGGGACGUGUCCCGGCCCGGAGAGUACCCGGAGAAAAAGCAUCGGCUAACUCCGUGCCAGCAGCCGCGGUAAUACGGAGGAUGCGAGCGUUAUCCGGAUUUAUUGGGUUUAAAGGGUGCGUAGGCGGGCUUUUAAGUCAGCGGUAAAAAUUCGGGGCUCAACCCCGUCCGGCCGUUGAAACUGGGGGCCUUGAGUGGGCGAGAAGAAGGCGGAAUGCGUGGUGUAGCGGUGAAAUGCAUAGAUAUCACGCAGAACUCCGAUUGCGAAGGCAGCUUACUAAACUGCCACUGACAUUGAUGCUCGAAAGUGUGGGUAUCAAACAGGAUUAGAUACCCUUGUAGUC